UUUGUCUGUGAUGUCAUCUUUCUACCUACAUUGUUUGAGUUUAUUCUAAAUGAGAAUAUUCUACAAAUCUGAGACUAUA